rnacentral:rRNA from 1 species
GACGAACGCUGGCGGCGUGCCUAAUACAUGCAAGUAGGACGCAGUUGCGAACGGGUGAGUAACGCGUAGGUAACUGCCUAUGAGAGGGGGAUAACUAUUGGAAACGAUAGCUAAUACCGCAUACUAGUAGAUGGACCUGCGUUGUAUUAGCUAGUAGGUAGGGUAAUGGCCUACCUAGGCAACGAUACAUAGCCGACCUGGGGGGGUGAACCGCCACACUGGGACUGGGACCCGGGCCAGACUCCUACGGGAGGCAGCAGUAGGGAAUCUUCGGCAAUGGGGGGAACCCUGGCCAAGCAACGCCGCGGGAGUGAAGAAGGUUUUCGGAUCGUAAAGCUCUGUUGUUAAGGAAGCGGUACUUAACCAGAAAGGGACGGCUAACUACGUGCCAGCAGCCGCGGUAAUUC